rnacentral:rRNA from 1 species
AAGCUUGACCUUAACUGCUAAUCGUAUUCCAAAUUAUCAUCUACGUAAAUCUUUUGUAGACGACUUAACAUGGAACGGGUAUUGUAAGCAUGAGAGUAGAAUUUCUACGAUCUGCUGAGAUUCAGCCCGUCUCCUUAGAUUUAU